AUGGAGACCGAAGCGGGCGGCGAGGAGGACGCGCGCGGCAAUACUGAUGAUGCCGCAGCCACCGAAGAAGGAGCCGGCGCUGACGUGCCCGCCGGCGAAGAGGCCGCCAAGGCUGCUGCCGAAGAAGCUGGCGGGGGAUCUGGCGAUCGCACUGACGGUCCUGAGGCCGCAGGAGCGCCAGGCGCUGCACCGACCGCCGAUCCCUCCGCUGCUGCCGCGGGGGCAGACUCCGAGGAGUCCCAGCCCGGCGCCUAUCUGAAGGCCGGCGAGGGCAUCUUCAUCAAGCUCCCCUGGGCAUCGAGCUCCAGGGCGCCGAUGGAAGGAGAAGCUCCGGAUGGGGAGGUGCUUGCCUUCGCCGGGUUGUCGAUCGUCGACGCGCCGGGAAGCAGCAGCGGCAAGCCUGAGGAGGAGCGGCUGCUACGGAGGCUGUUGGCGCUCUACCGCGCCCGCCAAGUCAAGUUGGAGUCCCGGGAAGCGCUUGUCGCGAGGGCGAGCGUGGACAUAGAGAAGCGUGCGGAGGAGCUCCGGGGUCUUCGCCAAGAAACUCUCUGGGCCUUGGCGGAGGAGCGGGAGCAGCUUGCUGAGGAGCGGCAGGCCUUCCUCCUUGAGAAGGCUGAGGCUGAAGAGCAGCAGCGGCUCACCGGCGAGAAGCUGUAUGCGCGAGAAGGCGAGCUGACUCAGCGGAAAGUGUACCUCGACAACCACGAAGAGGAGCUUGCUGCGCGCAAACAGGCACUUGGCGGGACGCUCCAAGAGGCAAAGGAUGCGGCUGCGGCUGCCGAGGCCGCCAAGAAAGAAUUGGAGGCAAAGGUGGCGCAGCUGGGAGCUGAUCUGAAGGUUAGUGGCAAAGGGCUUGCCGCGCUCAAGCUAGAGCGCGAGAAGAACGCCCUUGCCCAUGGUGAGCUGCAGGGCCGACUCGCCGAGAGGGGCAAGGAACUGAGCGCCGCCAAGGAUUCCAACGUAGAUCUGACGCUGAAGCUGGCCACCUUGACGGAGACGUUGGACAGUGCUAGGAAACGGGAGGCAGACUUGAAAAAAGACAUCAAGGCCAACGAUGCGCUGCUGGCGAGGGCCGCCGAAACCCAGAACCUUCUCAGAGAUAUUGUGGCGCUCUGGACGGAGGGCCUCGUGAACAUUAUUGCAGUCAUCGAAUAG
rnacentral:rRNA from 1 species